AUUGAACGCUGGCGGCAGGCCUAACACAUGCAAGUCGAGCGGAUGAGGGGAGCUUGCUCCUCGAUUCAGCGGCGGAAGGGUUAGUAAUGCCUAGGAAGCUGCCUAGUAGUGGGGGACAACGUUUCGAAAGGAACGCUAAUACCGCGUACGUGCUAGGGGAGAAAGUGGGGGAUCUUUGGACCUCACGCUAUUAGAUGAGCCUGGGUCGGAUUAGCGAGUUGGUAGGGUAAAGGCCUACCAAGGCGACGAUCCGUAACCGGUCUGAGAGGAGGGUCAGUCACACUGGACCUGAGACACGGUCCAGACUCCUACGGGAGGCAGCAGUGGGGAAUAUUGGACAAUGGGCGAAAGCCUGAUGCAGCCAUGCCGCGUGUAUGAAGAAGGCCUUCGGGUUGUAAAGUACUUUCAGCGGGGAGGAGGGCGAUGUGGUUAAUAACCGCGUCGAUUGACGUUACCCGCAGAAGAAGCACCGGCUAACUCCGUGCCAGCCGCCGCCGUAA
rnacentral:rRNA from 1 species